ACAAAGUGAAGGUCAAGUUAGCACCGUACCUUAUAAGGAAGGCGUUAGUCCUCCAUUUUCAGGGCUUUCUCUGGGCCAGGGACAUGGCCGUGGCAUUUCUGGUCGUGUAAACACUGGCCUCUUUGGGGCCUUUCCCCCUAAGGCCUCUCCCCUCCCUUUAUUGGGGAUGGGGGCACCGCAGUGCAGCCCCUAAUCUCAGCGGAAGCGGCGGAAAUGAAAGCAGAGAUGCUGAGCAGGUCGUAAGAGUUGAAGAGGAAAUUAAACGUCAUAAAGAAAAGUCCAUUUUCAGCUUAAAUGUCUGAACAUUACGAUUUCCUUCAGAAAACAAUGAAGCGCACUCGGCAUGUAGGCAUGUGACAUUGAGACUGAAAGAAGAAGUCGACUUUUCCAAACCCCAACUGUCCAGGCAAUUCCUGAUAGAUUGGCUCCUUGCUGGCCACGGGGAUGAAGCCUCGGCCCAGGAAAUGGAGCCGCCGGCAGCUCCCUCCAGUCGCUGGUCUCACUUUUAUGGUGGCCCCGGAAUAAACUUUGGUGGUCAAAUUCAAGUGCUAAGCCUGCACAGCUGUCUCCUCACAGGAAGGCGGCAACUCCCCUCACCCCCCAAACACACACACUUUUACACUGGGUGUUCACAGCUAUUUACUUCUUAGGCUAUUGAUCCUUAAUUCGACCCAUCUCUCUUUCCCCCUUCCCCCCUCCCCAUCCACCUACACCAGUCCGCUCCCACCCUACCCCGACAGCCUAGGGGUCCUAGGAUUGGGAAAGAAAUUUGGCUAGGGGAAGGAAGGAGAGUCAUAGCCUUGACCUAUAGGAGCAACUCCCUUUGUCUCUCCUAAAUUCCGUAUUCGUAGAAGAGAGAGGAAUCUCUAAUCUUUUUCCCUACCCAAAGUCCUGUCCCAAAAUGGAGAAUCUUCUGAUCUCCCAUAGACAAUAAUAUGGUGGGGUCCUAGUGGACCCUAUAAAAGUUACAGUCUAUACUUCUCUAACACGAUAAUUAAAAACUCUGACUCAAAUCUCCCUAUAAAUGGGGCAGAGGGGAACACAGACAAUAUUUGGCUCCCUCUGAGCCAUCUCUGACCUGUUCUUUCUUCUGAGGACUCCCUCACAUUACCAAUUUUAUCAUAUAUUUUAAUUUAUAUAUACAUAAAUGCGUAUGCAUAUAUAUUUACACUGAAUAUGAAAAUUCUCCCUUUCAACAUAUAUUAGGAAUUAAGGGGGGGAAAUGUAAUGAAAAGAGCAUAAGAGAAUGGGAAAGGGAAUGAUGGAAGCUGGGAUUCUGGGUCUUGAAUUAUUCCUGGCUUAGAGAGCAUAUUAGGAUAUUAACAAAAACAAUGGAAUGCUGGUGUCCGAAGCAGCUUGCCCAGCCGCAAGGCUGGGACGGAGACCACCGCUGGCUCCAGAUGUUGCUUUUAAUGAAAUACAAGUUUUUUUUUUUUUUCAAGCACCCACAAGCAGCAGCAGCAGCAGCAGCAGUCGGGCGCCAAAGAGUAUAUGAAGAUUAUUUAGUUUGUGAAUAGAGACUGGAGUAAAGGGUCUCUAGAUAGAGGCUAGAGAAAUUCCUCUGACUAUGGGUCUCCAAUAAGUCCUGGAUGGGCAAAACCUUGGGAAAUGAAAUAAAAAUGAAAACAGAAGUUGCCUAGAUAGAAACUCCGUAUAGAAACGAAGAUAACCCUGACAGCUUUUCCACCAGAAAAGGAAGCUAGUAAACGUCCUCUCCAUCAAUUAAGUCUGAAUUGUUUUUAGGGAUAUUGCCAUCUCUUUUCUUUAGGGGAAAAAUGAAGAACACUGUUGGAAAAGUGUCAUUUGCCAUGUCCUUGUAGUGCCAAGCUGUGUUCUCUUCUCCCCGCCAAAUGUAUUGCUGACAUUCUCUCAAAUAAACUUCUUUUUUUUUCCUUG